rnacentral:rRNA from 1 species
GACGUAGGGCGCGAGCGUUGUCCGGAUUUAUUGGGCGUAAAGAGCGUGUAGGCGGCCAGGUAGGUCUGCUGUGAAAACUCGAGGCUUAACCUCGAGCUGUCGGCGGAAACCAUCUGGCUAGAGUCCGGAAGAGGAGAAUGGAAUUCCCGGUGUAGCGGUGAAAUGCGCAGAUAUCGGGAAGAACACCCGUGGCGAAGGCGGUUCUCUGGGCCUUACCUGACGCUCAGGCGCGAAAGCUAGGGGAGCGAACUGG